CGCUGUCCCCUCACCCCUGCGACAACUCUCCCCACCUGUGCAUGCUCCGCUGUAGCGCUGUUCCGCCCUUUGUUUUACUUUAGAGAAAGGAAAAUAAGGCACGGUCUGGGGAAAAGGACACCCCCUAUCUUGUCCCCAUACCACAGCUAACCUAACCAAACCAUACCUCCUCCCCGCUACGUUCUGUCAGUCCACUCACGCUAUAGCGGAGGGCAGUGCCAGGAAACUCGCUCACCCCCCUAGCGGACAGCUACCACAUCGCCAGCACCGCCCCGCUCUCGGUGUAGCUUGAGCGGCUGCGUAGUCCCACCUCCUGUCCUGCUCCGAGUGGCUGGCGGCGCUUAGGCGUGUUUCUCAUUGGGCCUGGUGGUGGCCGGGCUGUGUUUGGUAGGUUCCGCUGUGCCCAGAUGUUGGGCUAGUGGUGGAGGCUAGUUGCUGUGGGGAUAGGUUUGUCGUGAAAGAGCUGGACGGAGUGCGGGAGGCGAGUUACCAAGUGCAGCCUGUGCUUUGUCAGGACCUCGUUUAGAGUCUCCAUGUUGUCCCAUCUGCCUGAUCUGAGAAAAAGUUGGGGAUACUCUGUUUGGGCUGUGUGUUUCUAAUAAGCUUUUGUUUGUGACUCUGAAAAAAGCAGGUCUGUAUCCUUCAAGAAAGAGGUACAGACUAAAUGGAUUUAAAGACAGCAGUGUUCAAUGCAGCUUGUGAUGGCAAGCUGCGGCUCCUUUCCAAGUUACUUGCAAGCAAAACUAGAGAAGAGGUGGCCUUACUAAUCUCAGAAAAAACCAAUGGUGCCACACCACUUUUGAUGGCAGCCCGUUAUGGGCACGUUGACAUGGUGGAAUACUUGUUGGACUGUUGCUCUGCUUCUAUAGAAAUUGGUGGUUCAGUUAAUUUUGAUGGUGAGACCAUUGAGGGAGCUCCACCAUUAUGGGCAGCAUCAGCUGCUGGCCACUUGAAGGUGGUUCAGUGUCUGUUAGAUCAUGGUGCAUCUGUCAAUAACACAACUCUAACAAGUUCAACUCCGCUUAGAGCUGCCUGUUUUGAUGGUCACCUGGAAAUAGUAAAAUAUCUUGUGGAGCACAAAGCAGACUUGGAAGUAUCAAACCGUCAUGGGCAUACGUGCUUGAUGAUCUCAUGUUACAAAGGCCACAAAGAAAUUGCUCAGUAUUUACUUGAAAAAGGAGCUGAUGUUAACAGAAAAAGUGUUAAAGGUAAGUUCAUUGUUUCAGUGUUCCUUGUGGUAAAUAGGGGUGAAAUUACUCAUGUGUUCUUUAGGAGACUGACACCCAAAAAUAUUCUUCUAGUCUCAUAAUGUGAAUGUUUUUUCCAGUAAGAGAUUAAGUGUGUCUAGCUAUCUUUUUACAAGUUUUUUCAUCAUACUUAUUUAAUAAUGGCUAUAAAACGUAGUUCUAAAUUGAUACAUUUUCACAGAAUGGUCAGGGUUGGAAGGGACCUCUGGGGGUCGUCUAGUCCAACUUGCUGCUAAAGCAGGUUAACCUAGAACAGGUUGCACAGGACUGCAUCCAGGUGGGUUUUGAAUGUCUCCAGAGAAUAAGACUCCACAACCUCUCUGGGCAGCCUGUUCCAGUGCUCUGUCACCCUCAAAGUAAAGAAGUUCUUCCUCAUAUUCAGAUGGAACUUUUGGUGUUGUAGCUUGUGCCUUUUGCUCCUUGUCCUGUUGCUGGGCGCUACUGAAAAGAGCCUGGCCCCAUCCUCUUGACGUUCACCCUUAAGAUAUUUGUAGACGUUGAUAAGAUCCCCUCUCGGUCUUCCCUUCCCCAGGCUAAACAGGCCCAUCUCAGCCUUUCCUCAUAAGGGAGAGGUGCCAGUCCCCUAAUAAUCUUUGCAGCCCUCCACUGGACCCUUUCCAGUAGUUCCCUGUCUCUCUUGAAGUGGGGAGCUCAGAACUGGACACAGCACUUCAGGUGUGGUCCCACAAGAGCAGAGUAGAGGGGGAGGAUAACCUCCCUCGACCUGCUGGCCAUGUUCCUCCUAAAGCACCCCAGGAUCCCACUGGCUGCCUUGGCCUCAAGGGCACACUGCUGGCUUGUGGUCAACUUGCUGCCCACCAGAAUUCCCAGGUCCUUCUCCGCAGAGCUGCCCCCCAGCAGGUCAACCCCUAGCCUGUACUGGUGCAUGGGGUUGUUCCUCGGUGCAGGACCUUAUGCUUGCCUUUGUUGAACUUCAUUAGGUUCCUCUCCACCCAAUUCUCCAGCUUGUCCAGGUAUCACUGAAUGGUGGCACAGCCUUCUGGUGAAUCAGCCACUCCUCCCAGUUUUGUAUCAUCUGCAAACUUGCUGAGGUUACUCUCUGUCCCUUCUUUGAUGAAUAAGUUGAACAGGACUGGACCUAGUACUGACCCCUGGGGAACAGCACUAGCUACAGGCCUCCAGCUAGACUCUGCGCUGUUGAUCACAACCCUCUGAGCUCUGCCAUUUAGCCAGUUCUCAGUCCACCUCACUGUCCACUCAUCUAAUCCACACUCCCUGAGCUUACCUGUGAGGAUGUUAUGGUAGACAGCGUCAAAAGCUUUGCUGAGGUCAAGGUUGACAACAUCCACUGUUCUCCCCUCAUCUACCCAGCCAGUCAUUCCAUCAUAGAAGGCUAUUAGGUUGGUCAGGCAUGAUUUCCCCUUGGUGAAUCCACGUUGACUACUCCUGAUAACUAUUUCUUCCACAUGCUUCGAGAUGACCUCCAGGAUGAGCUGUUCCAUCACCUUUCCAGGGAUGAAGGUGAGGUUGACCAGCCUGUAGUUUCCUGGGUCCUGCUUCUUGCCCUGUUUGAAGACUGGAGUGACAUUGGAUUUCCUCCAGUCUUCAGGCACCUCUCCUGUCCUCCAUGACCUUUCAAAGAUGAUGGAGAGCGGCUUGGCAAUAACAUCUGCCAACUCCCUCAGCACUUGGGGGUGCACCCCAUUGGGACUCAUCGAUCUGUGGGUGACAAGAUUGCCUAAAUGAUCUCUAACGUGAUCCUCCUCGACCAAGGGAAAGUCUUCCUUUCUCCAGACUUCCUCUCUUGCCUCCAGGGUCUGGGAAACCGGAGUGCUGGCCUUGGCAGUGAAGACUGAAGCAAAAGCGGCAUUCAGUAACUACCUUCUCUGUGUCCUUUGUCACUAUGUUAGCCAGGGAACGAAAACCCCAUCUACAUGAAGUAGAUAAGCAGGCAUUUCUUUAUUGCAGCACUGGGUGCUUCGUGGCAUCUCCACAAAUCAAGCACAACUAUAUUGAUCUCACUGUUAUAUUUAUACACAAAAAUGAUAAGGUAGUAUACUCCCAGUUACAAUGAUUGGCUAUUAAUUUGCAUAUAAUUAUAAUAUCUGCUGUGUCAUCCUCUUCAGUUACUACGCUUGCGCAGAGGAAGGGUCUUCACCUGGGUGAGGGUCUUCUUGACCUGUGAGUGCGUUCUUUAGUAUUAUAAUGCAGGUAGUUCACUUCAGGACACCUUAAAAAUAAGUUUUGUUGCCAAGUUGGACGACUAGAUAUCUACCUUGCCAAGCUGUCCAAUAAUUCAUCCCAUACACAAUAGAACCUAGAUGCUCUGGUUAUGGUCUUGAGAUUAAAGACCAAGGUUAACAUGGUCCAGAGAGCAGGGACUCCUAAAUAUCACAGCUUAAGUGACAAGUAACACAGCAACUCAUACAUCGUUAGUUAAUAAGUACUAACAUAAUACUAACAUUUGCUAACAUAGGUUAUAACUGCAAUUUACCAUUAAACAGAGCAGAAGGAACUGUGCAGUGACCUUGCCAGAUGUUCUUUGCACUCCUUUUGAAAUUUCCCCAUCCAUGACUUAGCAUGAUUUUGUGCUGCUAGGAAGUUUUCCUCUUCAUGCAUACCCUUUUGGAAGGAAAACCAGACCAGCAGUAUUUAUCUUACGAGCUGUGUGAAUAAUUUUUUACAGACACAUGGCCUUAUACAAUAUAGUUAUUGACAGAAAGAAAAUAUCCACCAUUGUUUACACUGGGAUAGACUUCGCCAUUAGCAUUUUAUUCAGCACAAAUCACACGGAAGGAAGAAUUUACACCCUCUCCCCUAAAGUGUGAUUAAGUCAUGGAGAAAAGUGCAUGUCACAGGGACAGGAGGGAGAAUUUAUUGCAUUGAAGUUGGAAACAUUUAAAUAAACAUAAUUAAUAGCUCUGUAUACAGCGUCAUAUAUAUUCUUCUAAAUGUGCUGUUUUGUAUGAGUUGCCAUAGAAUUGUUAUUUGAUAAACCUUGGUAGCACAGUUCUGGUCUUAGUGCAGAGCAAAGCAGUGCCUCCACACGAAGAGGGUCCCCCGUGGAGAGUCGGCCAAGUCACGACAAUCACACCAAUAUGGCUACAUGCCGUGCUCACUUUAUUAAACAAACAGGUCAUAUUUAUAACUUAAACCGACCGCUCACAUGACUCUACACACAGGUGAUUGGAUAAAAGUUUCUGGUCACGUGGGGUCUGUGUUGCUGAUUGGUGAGCAUGCUGCAGGCGCCUGAUCAGAGUUUUCCGAUGAGAGUGUGUUGAUUUUGCGGUUCCCAGGACUUGCUCUGCACCUGGCUUCUUGUUUGCGCAUAGCUUGUUUUCUUUCUCACACUGCUUGUUCCAAAGACAAUUUAAAGUUGCUCUGCAGCUUCAACUAACAGGCCUGGGUUGUCCAACCCGGACAAUGCUAACAUAUGUCCUUGGUUCUUUAAAAAUUCCUCUACACCCACAUGUAAAAUACACAUGCCACACUGGCUGGUACUAAUGUGGAGGUAAGGAGGCCCAAAGCUGCUUUUGGCCCACAGUAAAUACAUGGGUACAAUGACUCAUCUGACAUUUAUCAGGUUCACUAUUGCAAGCGUAGAUCUAUAGCUGAAAAAUAAACAAAAAGUUGAGAUCAAAAGUUGUGCCCCCAGUACCAACAAACAGGUUACACAACUUGCAGCA